GCAGCUUAACUGUAGAACUGCCAUGAUACUGUCGUCUGAGUACAUUUGAUGUGAGCGGAAUGUGUCGUGUAGCGGUGAAAUGCUUAGAUAUGACACAGAACACCAAUUGCGAAGGCAGCUCACAAAACUGUAACUGACACUGAGGCACGAAAGCGUGGGGAUCAAACAGGAUUAGAUACCUGGUAGUCCACGCCGUAAACGUUGAUUACUAGAUGUAUGCGAGUUAUCGCAUGUGUCAAAGCGAAAGCGUUAAGUAAUCCACCUGGGGAGUACGACCGCAAGGUUGAAACUCAAAGGAAUUGACGGGGGCCCGCACAAGCGGAGGAGCAUGUGGUUUAAUUCGAUGGUACGCGAGGAACCUUACCUGGGCUUGAAAGUUAGUGACCGUUCCUGAAAGGGAAUUUUCCGAAAGGACACGAAACUAGGUGCUGCAUGGCUGUCGUCAGCUCGUGCCGUGAGGUGUUGGGUUAAGUCCUGUAACGAGCGCAACCCCUACCAUUAGUUGCCAGCGGGUAAUGCCGGGGACUCUAAUGGAACUGCCUGCGUAAGCAGAGAGGAAGGUGGGGACGACGUCAAGUCAUCACGGCCCUUACGUCCAGGGCUACACACGUGCUACAAUGGUCGACACAACGGGCAGCUACAUGGUAACAUGAUGCUAAUCUCUAAAGUCGAUCUCAGUUCGGAUAGAGGUCUGCAAUUCGACCUCUUGAGGUUGGAUUCGCUAGUAAUCGCGCAUCAGCAAUGGCGCGGUGAAUACGUUCCCGGGCCUUGUACACACCGCCCGUCAAGCCAUGGAAGUUGGGGGUACCUGAAGUCGAUUGCCGCAAGGCGUCGCCUAAGGUAAAAUCAAUGACUGGGGCUAAGUCGUAACAAGGUAACC
rnacentral:rRNA from 1 species